AUGGGAAUGAGUCCAGGCCAGGUGCCAUUUCCCACCUCUACUUAUGCCUUCACAAAAAAGGGCGUCUACACACCGUCUACACCCCCCAGCUGCUUUCACUCAUUAAUGAGCAGCCAGUCUCCAACACCCUGCGCACAGAUGCGACUGAGGCCUUAUCAGUCCUCAAGCUCAUCUGUCCUCAAACAGCGUGGAAAGGCAUCCUUCCACCAACCUGAAUGUGAGCCCUCAAACAUCAAACUCAAAGCACGAGCAUGAAUCCAGGAACCGCAACACAACGGACAGAUGGAGGAUAAUACCCAGCAAGCAGUGGCAUCUGUGGUGCGAUCAUGUCGAUCCAACCUUGCAAAGUGAAGCAUCGUGGCUCCUUAACAAAAAAUAUUUCAUGUUUUGAAUUGUUAUCCCGUGACGUUACAACUUUAAUCUUGGAAGUUUA